rnacentral:rRNA from 1 species
AGAGUUUGAUCCUGGCUCAGGAUAAACGCUAGCGGCAGGCCUAACACAUGCAAGUCGAGGGGCAGCGGGUGGAGUAUUUCGGUACUCCUGCCGGCGACCGGCGCACGGGUGCGUAACGCGUAUGCAACCUACCUUUAACAGGGGGAUAAUCCGAAGAAAUUUGGUCUAAUACCCCAUAAUAUCAUUUAAGGCAUCUUAGAUGGUUGAAAAUUCCGAUGGUUAGAGAUGGGCAUGCGUUGUAUUAGCUAGUUGGUGAGGUAACGGCUCACCAAGGCUACGAUACAUAGGGGGACUGAGAGGUUUUCCCCCCACACUGGUACUGAGACACGGACCAGACUCCUACGGGAGGCAGCAGUGAGGAAUAUUGGUCAAUGGACGCAAGUCUGAACCAGCCAUGCCGCGUGCAGGAUGAAGGUGCUAUGCAUUGUAAACUGCUUUUGUACGAGGGUAAAUGCAGGUACGUGUACCUGUUUGAAAGUAUCGUACGAAUAAGGGUCGGCUAACUCCGUGCCAGCAGCCGCGGUAAUACGGAGGACCCGAGCGUUAUCCGGAUUUAUUGGGUUUAAAGGGUGCGUAGGCGGAUUAGUAAGUUAGAGGUGAAAGCUCGAUGCUCAACAUCGAAAUUGCCUCUGAUACUGUUAGUCUAGAGUAUAGUUGCGGAAGGCGGAAUGUGUGGUGUAGCGGUGAAAUGCUUAGAUAUCACACAGAACACCGAUUGCGAAGGCAGCUUUCCAAGCUAUUACUGACGCUGAUGCACGAAAGCGUGGGGAGCGAACAGGAUUAGAUACCCUGGUAGUCCACGCCGUAAACGAUGAUAACUCGUUGCAGGCGAUACACAGUCUGUGACUUAGCGAAAGCGUUAAGUUAUCCACCUGGGGAGUACGUUCGCAAGAAUGAAACUCAAAGGAAUUGACGGGGGCCCGCACAAGCGGAGGAACAUGUGGUUUAAUUCGAUGAUACGCGAGGAACCUUACCCGGGCUUGAAAUUACCGACGGAUCCUGAAAGGGGCUUCCUUUCGGAGCCGAACUAAGUGCUCCAUGGUUGCCGUCACCUCUGCCCGGAAGGUGCCGGGUAAAUCCCCAACACAGCGGACCCCUCACUGUUUUUUCCCCACCCUCAAGGGGGGCCUUUACCAGAAUUCCGGGUUACCCCAGAAAGAAGGGGGGUAAGCUCAAUUCCCCCGGCCUCUCUCCGGGGCGAACCAGUUUUAUAUGGUUGGAAAGAGGUGGUACCCCGUGAGGGGAUGCCAAUCUCGAAAGCCGAUCUCAGUUCGGAUUGGAGGCUGAAACUCGCCUCCAUGAAGUUGGAUUCGCUAGUAAUCGCGCAUCAGCCAUGGCGCGGUGAAUACGUUCCCGGGCCUUGUACACACCGCCCGUC